rnacentral:misc_RNA from 1 species
AUGAAGAACGUAGCGAAAUGCGAUAAGUAAUGUGAAUUGCAGAAUUCAGUGAAUCAUCGAAUCUUUGAACGCACAUUGCGCCCGCCAGUAUUCUGGCGGGCAUGCCUGUCUGAGCGUCAUUUCAACCCUCAUGCCCCUAGGGCGUGGUGUUGGGGAUCGGCCAAAGCCCGCGAGGGACGGCCGGCCCCUAAAUCUAGUGGCGGACCCGUCGUGGCCUCCUCUGCGAAGUAGUGAUAUUCCGCAUCGGAGAGCGAUGAGCCCCUGCCGUUAAACCCCCAACUUUCCAAGGUUGACCUCAGAUCAGGUAGGAAUACCCGCUGAACUUAAGCAUAUCAAUAAGCGAAGGA